AUAAAUGUCAAUAAAGUUAAUUCUAUUCUAUUCUAUCAGCUUAAUAUCUGAUACGCCCCGCAUGCGGGGCCAGUAUAUUAAACUGAUUUUUGGAAAUUGAUGGGGGUUAGGGGCUUGCUCCACCCCCGUCGCGGGUUGGCCCGGCAUUGCAGUACCACCGGGAUCGGCCCACUGUUA
rnacentral:snRNA from 14 species